rnacentral:rRNA from 1 species
GAUGAACGCUGGCGGCGUGCUUAACACAUGCAAGUCGAACGGAAAGGCUCCUGCUUGCAGGGGUACUCGAGUGGCGAACGGGUGAGUAACACGUGGGCGAUCUGCCCUGCACUUCGGGAUAAGCCUGGGAAACUGGGUUUAAUACCGGAUAGGACCACAUCAUGGAUGGUGUGGUGGAGAGUUUUUGGGUGUGGGUUGAGCUCGCGGCCUUUCAGCUUGUUGGUGGGGUAAUGGCCUACCAAGGCGUCGACGGGUGGCCGGCCCGAGAGGGUGUACGGCCACAUUGGGCCUGGAAUACGGCCCGGACUCCUACGGGAGGAAGCGGGGGGGAAUAUUGCACAAUGGGGGCAGGCCUAAGGCAGCGACGCCGGGUGGGGGAUACCGGCUUUCGGGUGGUAAACGCCUUUCGCUGGGGACGAAGCGGAAGUGACGGUACCUGGAGAAGAGGCACCGGCUAACUACGUG